UGUCUGUGAUCAAGUUUUAGAGUGAAAAAGCACUCGUCAGCCUGCACACAGUCUGUAGACACACAGCUUACGUGUGUUUCAUGGUCGUGUUUUGUAUGUUGUCUAGUGUCUCCUUGGUGUCAUGCCGUGGAUUAUUGGUCUGUGCGCACGGGUGUGUGUGCUUCCAUUAUAGGCCUUUAAUGAGGGUGAUUGAUGAACAUAAAGGAGCAGAAAGAGUUAAAGAUGUGAAAAAUAGGAAUGGAAAUGUAAAAAAACAUGGAAGCUGUGAGUACCAGCACAUACGUGAUGAGUGACUUAGAUGAGAAAAUAGAAGAAAGGCGUCCUGAUACUUUUCCAGAAUUAAAGAGUGACGUAAGUUCUCAGAUUGCAGAAAUACAAAAUCAAAGCCGGGUCCAGCCUGAAUCCGUACCCUGGCCUGCACACAGCUCAGUCCCCAAUUCCAGAACAGGAGUGUGUAAAAGAGUAAAACAAAGGCAAUGUCAGACAGAGACUGGGGAGACCGAGACAGAGACUGGGGAGACUGACUGCUGGAGCCUAAAACGAUUUCACAAGUUGCAUUCCAAGGAGAAGGUGCUGAGCUUAACGAGCUGUCGAGAGAACAGAGAGCAGAUAAUGACUUUGUGAGCAAGUCCAAAGCAGGCAGUGAGGAAGAUGGCCCCGUGGUGGUGUUCCAUCCUGAGUGUGGCCACAGGGUGGGGCUAAAGCCCUGGGCAAGGCACCGGCCAUCUGGGGAGGCGGCGGGCUGACCCUCGCUUCUGCCGUCUGUGCGUUUCUCAGCAAGAGGGUGUGAAUGAUGAUUGCGCAUGUCUUUCGGUGAUCGUUUGGGUCUGCAUUUAUGGGUGAUCACUAAGAGAAUAGAAGUGGGUUAUUUAACUUCCAACCCAGUAGAGAAAAACGGAGUCUGGGCUGUAAGAAGCAAGAAAAUGUAAAAUAAGAAAGGAUGGUGAAUAGUAUGAGAAAAGACGGCAGAAUCAGUCCGAGGAGUCUGCUCGUUAUAGUAAAGACGAAUUGAGUCCAGUUGGCCCUAAAAGAAAAAACCCAGAUCUUGGGUUGGAUAAAUUCACAGUUCUAGGCACAGAUUUUAAUGACAGCUGAAUGCGGACACAAAACAUUUGUAAGUAAAUGGAUGGAAAAAGAAAUACAAGUUCAGUUCCAACUACAUAUCGUAGCCAGUAUGACUCUCAUCUACUGGACGUUCAUCUGUGAAAUGUUAGGCGUAGAGCCCUUCCCAAGAGAGAACCGUAACCGUUCUAAACUUGUGUGCCCCUAACAAGACUGUCUCCAGUCGUAUAAAGCGAAACAUGCCCGAGAUGGAAUCGGCCAUAGUUGAGUACGUGAUUGGAGCGGGAGAGUUUAAGAAAGCUCCUCCCCGUCCGUGGAUACUGGAUGUAGAGUAAGUGAACCGCAGAAGAGCGUGGUAUACUGUCGACGGAAAGAUCCCGUGUAGAACCCUGGAGCUGAUUGUUUCAGAACGCGCUUUUUUCCCAAACGCAUGGAAUAUUUGUAAAAAUUAUAUAGCAUUCCUCAGAGCAAUUGUGAGCGAAUGCCAGAGAAUUACUGUUCAUGCCUCAUUCUCUGAUUUAAAAAAAAAUCAAUAAAAAUAUAUUUGAAUAUUAAAAAAUAACACUGAUAUCUAGCUCAUAGACAAGGCUGAACACAGGAUGGAAAUUAAGAAUAUUUGACUUGAAUAAUAGUGAAAACAUUACAUACAUUUUUAUGGGAUACUUUAAAAUAAUGAAUUAUAGACAUUUGUUAAUAACAGAAGAGAGGAAAAUAAUGAGCCACUUCCAACUCCGUUUUAUAUAAAAGAAUAGCAGAGGGAAUUCAGAGAAAAUAGAAGAAAAUAAAAAUGGUAGCGGCACCUGGGUGGCUCGGUGGGUUAAGCCUCUGCCUCCAGCUCAGGUCAUGAUCUCAGGGUCCUGGGAUCGAGCCCCGCGUCGGGCUCUCUGCUCGGCGGGGAGCCUGCUUCCCCCCUACCCCCCUGCCUGCCUCUCUGCCUGCUUGUGAUCGCUCUCUCUCGCAAAUAAAUAAAUAAAAUCUUUUUAAAUAAAAAUGCUAGCAGCAGACGUGAUAAACAGAAAACAGAGAAUGGAAAGUUAUCAGCAUAAUGAAAGAAGAGUUCUAUGAAAGUCGACAAGCCUCCGGCAGUGUCGGGAAGCACGGGCGUUCCCGGUCAGAGAGCGGCAGAGAGGGAAGGAAAGUGGAUCAGCAGAAGCUCAUGAGCAUCAUGAAGGGGUUCCGGAAACGACGUGGUAUCAUUCAGUUGAAACACUUGGCCUGCAUCUGACGUAGAAAACAUUGAUGCAUAAUGAUUCCCGAUCUAGAAUUAAUUGCUUAACUGAUGGGCUAGACAGCCCGCCGAGACCCGUGUUCCUCGUCCCAGAGGGGCUAAACCAUCGGGUGACAGGCGGUUCCUCUGCUCUACACGCAGGUCCAGUGGACCGUAGAGGACAGGAGCAGGUCACUCCUGAGGGUCUCAGUAGAAGCUUAGAAUCCCCUUCACGCAAAGGGGCGAUGCUGAACAUCCUAAUGAAAAUGUAAAGAAAUAAAAUCCAGCAGUAUCCCAACAGACAAGCAAAAGCCCACCUGAGCCCUUUAGGUUUGUCUCGGGGGUUUAUGGAUCCCUUAACAUUAGCAGGUUCUUUGACCAUCUUUUCCACAGGACCAGACGAACGGACAUAAACCUUACCCUCAUCUCAAGACAUGCUUAAAAUGCACUUGAUAGGAUUCAGUCAGUGUUAAAAGCUCCUAAUAGGAGGCAACGUCCUCAGGCUAAGAAAGGACAUGUUCUUGUAAUCACGUGUCCUUGUAAUCUACAUCCAGCUAAACGAUUCCUGCGUCCAGGGAGAGACACACUGAACAUUUGGGCCCCUUCGGAAAUUGAACUGAAGUGUUUUCUGAAAGAGUGUGCAGGCAGGUAUUUUAUUUAAACGCAUGCUGCAAAUGAAGUGGGAAUUAAAGACUGGUUUCUGCAAAAACAAGCUUGAAAUUUAUUUUUGGGUAAUUUGUGCAUCCAGGUAGGCCCUUCCCAACCCAGACGGAGUGACCUGGGGCCUCCCAAAACCAAAACGCCAGCCAGAGGUCUACCAGUAGUCAGGGAGCCAGCCAUUUCGGGUAGAGCCAGCCGUGUCCCUGUGAGGACAGUGCCGUGCAGGGCGCCGACGUGUAUGGUGUGUGUGCUUUAAGUCCCACGUCAGCCAGCACCCUCCCUUGUUAGGAUCACAGAAGGUCCUGGUCCCCUCAGUGGCCCUUUGCUCUUUGCUUAUUAAAUGUUUGGUGCCACAAAUAUUUUGAAAAAAAACAAAAAACAAAAAACAAAAA